GACGUAGGGCGCGAGCGUUGUCCGGAUUUAUUGGGCGUAAAGAGCUCGUAGGCGGUUUGUUGCGUCGGCUGUGAAAUCCCGAGGCUCAACCUCGGGUCUGCAGUCGAUACGAGCAAACUAGAGUGUUGCAGGGGAGACUGGAAUUCCUGGUGUAGCGGUGAAAUGCGCAGAUAUCAGGAGGAACACCGGUGGCGAAGGCGGGUCUCUGGGCAGCAACUGACGCUGAGGAGCGAAAGCGUGGGGAGCGAACAGG
rnacentral:rRNA from 1 species